rnacentral:rRNA from 1 species
GACGAACGCUGGCGGCGUGCUUAACACAUGCAAGUCGCGCGGAGCGGCGAACGGGUGAGUAACGCGUGAGUAACUGCCCCCCUCUCUGGGAUAACAGUUGAAAACGGCUGCCAAUACCGGAUAUUGGGGGAUGCCUCGCGUCCUAUCCGCUGGUUGGUGGGGUAGUGGCCUACCAAGGCGACGACGGGUAGCCGGCCUGCGAGGGCGACCGGCCACAUUGCGCUGAGAUACGGCGCAAGGUGCUACGGGAGGCAGCAGUGGGGACUAUGGCACAAUGGGUGAACACCUGAUGCAGGUACGCCGGGUGCGGGAUGUCGGUCUUCGGGUGGUGAGCCGCUUUCAGCCAUGACGCGGUAGUGGCAGAAGAAGCACCGGCUAACUACGUGCCAGCAGCCGCGGUAAUUC